GACUUUGACGACUUUCAAAAGGUAACGAUAGAACUUGAUAAACUUAGUUACAAUAACAAUAGGAAAUUAGCAAUCAAUUCUCAAUUACAAUACAACAAAAACAAAAGAAAUAGAUACCGAGCACCUUUAUGACAUUCUCUUGGCCAGAAAUAGAGCCAUUAUCAAUGACCUAGAUAAUAUAAUUCUAUCAAUCGCACUAGCACAACUAGGGUUAUUAACCCCUUGACGUAUUUCCACGAGUCUGACUCGUGGUGUGAAGAAGUGUAUAUUUGAUAAAAAGAGGAUUGAAAUGUUCUCGUUAUUUUCUGCUAAUAAUAUAAACAAAAAAACAUUGUUGCAGUUGAGUGCAUUAUCUACUGCAGAUCAGUUGUGUAACUAUCCAUAUUUUUUGUUACGCAUUAAAAUUAAAUCGUAGUAUUUUAUUUUUUGUAAAUUUGUAAAACAAGCGUGUUAGUCAUUUGUGACUUGUUUAGUGCAAGUUGUGUGCGAACAGUUGGAAGCGAAUUUCGUUGCGCUAAUUGAUACGUCAAGGGGUUAAACCCGAUUAUUUUUGAUAACAAUGAAAUAUAUUCAAUUUUGAAGAACGACUCAUUCAACAAGGUCACCGUAACUGAUUUGUUAUCAGUUUCUAAGUUUAAUAUUACGACGUGCGCUCAACAGUUAGUAGUCAGCGUUACAGCAAGAUGGAGAACGACAUUUGGCCAACUAGAUCCUGUUCAAGAAAUUGAUGAUGGCCUGGUCAUUAUAAACGAUCACACCGCAGCACUAACACAUAACAACGCUACUGUUUCACUAAAAAUAGGUACUUACCUAGUAAUAUUUUCGGGUAAAGCUAAUGUUAAUGGAACGAUCUGUACAAAUUGAAACGACAUCCUCAUAAGAGUAGCCACUGGGCCACCCAAAUAAAGAUAACCGGGAAAUACGAUAUGAUGAGCAUACCAUACUUAUGACACCGCAUUCUAGAAAAUCGCCAACUAAUGGACCAUUUAACCAAUGGUUACAAGACAGGAUGAGCAACAACAUCAUUUACCCUAAUAUCAUUAACUGUCAUUCCCUUGUUUCUGAUCCUAAUAAUCUUCGCUAGAAAACGGAGAAGGCGGACUGCAAUAGCAAGAGUAGUGUAAAACAUCACUCAGCCGCAAACAAGAAGGUCCGCGGACGUACCCCACUUAUAAGGGGAGGAGUUAUCAUAAGACUGUUUAACAGUCUAAUGUUACGGCAAGGUUGCGUGUGGCCUAAGUCAGCAGAAGUUAUCAUAAGAAAGUUUAUCAAUGUUACGGCAAAAGUUGCGCGUGGCCUGAGUCAGCAGAAGUUAUCGUAAUAAUGUUAGUUAUCAUAAGACUGUUUAACAGUCUAAUAUUACAGCAAGGUGACGUGUGACAUAAGUCAGCAGAAGUUAUUAUAAGAAUGUUUAUCAAUGUUACGGCAAAAGUUGCUAGUGGUCUGAAUCAGCAGAAGUUAUCGCCAAAGUUCAAUGUUACGGCGAAAGUUGCGCGUGGCCCUAGUCAGCCUUCUUACACCGGUAAAACAGGAAACUGCAGUGUAGCUGCCAGCGGAUGGCUUCAGGGAGUGUAGUUUGCUGAUUUUUAGACUAAAAUAUAAUUUAGCAUUAAGCUAGUACUCAUGAAACUAGUCCAUUUCCAUUUAAAAUAAACCAUUUGUGUUGAAACCAAAAACAUAUAUACAUAUAAGUAGUUCUCUAUACAGUGACAUAAUUGUUUUGAUCUGUUUGGGGUAAAAUAUAAAUUUUUUUUUAAAACGCUGCCAUUUUGUAAAUUUUAUAUGUACGGAGAAUAUUUUCUAGUUUAACCCAUUUCAUUCUUCUGUUGCGCAUACGCAUUUCUAAAGAACACAAACUUCACAAAAAGACAAGGGCAAAUUACAAAUGAUUUAUUUGUUACAUUCGUCCUAAGCAAUUUUAUUUAUGAGCGAUGCGCCAGAGUUGCGUACAUGCAACAUGACAGCAUUCUUAAAAGUGGUAAAAAUAUGAAUUAAUUGAUAUAAAUUGAUUUUAUUUUUUUCUCUACAUGUGUAUAGUUUUUGAAACAUGUAUAGUUAUACCCUGAAAAUUUCAAAACAAUUGAUACAAUAUUUUUUUCUUUAAUUCUCAAAAGUUGGCGGUUUUUAAGCUGUCACACUAGGUGUAACCCUUAAUAUUGCAAUUAGUUCAUUCUUUUCAUAAUUCCUUCCUUGAAAAUAAAUCAACUGAGGCUAUUUGCUCCCAUUGCACUACAUUUGCUCUUAUCCCAUAAUGCAGCCUCCACCAUGCUUGACAGUAUUAUUUAAAUUUUUAUCUUUUAGCCCUUCGACUUCCUUAUGCCACAAAAAUGGACAACCUACAGAUCCAAAUAAAUUAAAUUUGGGAUCAUUUGUAAUUAACAACAUUGGACAUUUAGCGUGUUCCUUGAUACUCCGAGUAUGUUUACUUUUAGUGUGGGACUUUUUUUUGGACUUCCUCUUUCAGCAAUAAUGUACUGAAAAGUAGUAUGUGGUUUUUUGACAAUAUUGCAUUUCGCGAGUUGUUCUCUUUCCAUUAUUUCACUACCAGAGCUUGUAAAUCUUGAUAUAUGUAUUUGUUUCCCAUUUUUUCUUCUAAAGGUAUGAUCGCUCAAAAGAACUUCGUUUACCAAAUAAUACAUUUUGACCAUACGCACCUAAAGUGUUGCAAACGUACGUAUACAAUUUUUUUUUGCCGUUCAAAAGUGAGAUAUUUUAUUUUUUUUUUUUGUAAUGGGUAACUUCAAUAGUGAUUUAGAAUAAAAUUUGUUAUAAAAAAGUGAAAAAUACAUAAGUUUCAUACAAAUGUUUAAGAGAUAAGUCACUUGAAAGCCAACACAUUUAUUCACUGUAUGUAUUAUAUUAUUAUAUUUCCAUAUUAGAAAUGUGUAGUUUUUCUUAAACUUAUUUUUUGGAAGUGUUACAAAAAUAGUGUGGCCAUCAAUGGAGACACGAUCUCAAAGAGCUCAACUAGACUGUAUGACUCCCGCUCCAAUUUGCAAGCGAGGAUCAUAAGGCAAUGUUGUGCCCCUUGGCACAGUCUGUCUCAUGUUUCAGACCGAAAUAUGUUCGAACAUUACAUUCUUCCAGUGCAAUGCCUGCUUUGGCUGAUGUCCUUUUCCACCGAGAUACGUUCUGCCUAGGUUGCCCUUAGAUGCAGGAGUGGGCAUCCGCAAUUCCAACAAAAAGCAACCAAAUAAGAUCGCUGUGCCAUCAUCGCAACCGCGGGGGCCACAACAUCCGCCACCUAUACAUCACUGGCUCACUCCCACUAUUUUAUCGCGACACAUCAAACUCUUACAUUUCAACUGUUCGUUUCCCUUACCUUUGGAUCUGGAUUGGUUCCCGGCCACAAGAUAUACUCAAUUCCAUAAAAUUCGUUUUGUUUUAAAAGCUGUAAGUGUUAAUAAUAAAUCAUUGUCAGGUAAUCAGAAUUGGCUUUAUGGCUGGACGUCACGCUUUAAUCUAAGAUUAUUUAACAAAGUUAGCAUGGUACCACGGGUUGCCCUGUUUUAUGAGCUAAUGACUACCAAUUCAUAAAUGGUUUAUUCCAAUGAAAACUCCGCAAAUGUUGAAGUAAAUGUUUGUAGCGAUUAAAGGUUUCAAAAAUAAUGAAGAAAUAAUGUAGUCCUAUAAUAGAUAAGUCAAAAUCUACCAAUAAUAAAACAAUGAUAUAGCGAAUAGUUGCAAUUAUUAAAUUAGAAAAAUGUCAACAAAAGUUUACAAGAAUGUCAUUUAAAACAGGAAACGAAGUUAUCUUCGGUCACACCAUAGCACUAUAGGUCAAAUGAAUGGUUUUUGAGGCAAAAAAUCAAUUUUUAAAGUGUACUAUUUAAAUAAAAGGAUAAUGGCAUUUUGUAAUAAACAUUUUGAAAUACCCAAAAAUACCAAAAUUAGAGUCAGGUGGCAACCCAUGUCUUAAAGCCAAGCUAUCAAAGUUGUAGUUUUUUUUUGGUUUGUUUUGUUUUCUGACAUUCACCUUUAUAGUGCCUAACAUUUAAUCCAUUGUUUAACAAAAUAUUAUAAUUGUAUACAAUUUUUAUAAAAUGGAAAAUAUUAAUUCAGAUUCCAGAUGUUCCUGAAUAUCAAUUGCCGACUACGUCAAAUGUUAUGGCAAAUGAAAUUUUUUCUGAUUUCGAAUGGGAGGCAGAGGAUCUAUCUCUUUUUAAUAUAGAGUUAGAAGUUGAUGAAAUAGCGGACAAUUUUGAAUCGAAUUAAAUCUUGAUGGCAUUGGAAGCACAAAUUAAUUCGUAAGCCGAUCACUAGCAAAUGAAGACUUAUUUAAUUUCAUGGUUUUAUGUUAAUAAUUUUAUUAGUAAAUAAAUGUUAUUUCUAGCAGAAUGCUCCAUUAUCCAA